CCUAUGGGAGGCAGCAGUGGGGAAUAUUGGGCAAUGGAGGAAACUCUGACCCAGCAACGCCGCGUGAAGGAUGAAGGUUUUCGGAUUGUAAACUUCUGUCGCGAGGGAUGAAGAAUGACGGUACCUCGUAAGAAAGCCCCGGCAAACUACGUGCCAGCAGCCGCGGUAAUACGUAGGGGGCGAGCGUUGUCCGGAAUGACUGGGCGUAAAGGGAGUGUAGGCGGCAUAUUAAGUUAUGUGUGAAAGCCCGCGGCUCAACCGCGGAAUUGCACAUAAAACUGGUAAGCUGGAGUGCAGGAGAGGUAAGUGGAAUUCCCGGUGUAGCGGUGGAAUGCGUAGAUAUCGGGAGGAACACCAGAGGCGAAGGCAGCCUACUAAACUGCCACUGACAUUGAUGCUCGAAAGUGUGGGUAUCAAACAGGAUUAGAUACCCGAGUAGUC
rnacentral:rRNA from 1 species